GCCUUCGUGGUGUAAUGGUCAGCACACUGAGCCGGUAUUUCAGAGGUAUGUGGUUCGAUCCCCGGCGAAGGCA
rnacentral:tRNA from 1 species